rnacentral:rRNA from 1 species
GCGCACCAGUCGAGAAACCUUUGCAAUGCGCGAAAGCGUGACAAGGUGACUCCGAGUGCUCAUGCGUAAGCAUGAGCUUUUCCCGAGUGUAAACAGCUCGGGGAAUAAGGGCCGGGCAAUACCCGUGCCAGCCGCCGCGGUAAUACGGGAGGCCCGAGUGGUGCCCGCGAUUACUGGGCUUAAAGCGUCCGUAGCCGGUCCGGUAAGUCCUUGGUGAAAGCCCCAGGCUUAACCUGGGGAGGUGCCAAGGAUACUGCCGGUCUAGGGGAGCGGGAGAGGCGAGGGGUACUCCGGGGGUAGCGGUGAAAUGCGUUGAUCCUCGGGGGACCACCGGUAGCGAAGGCGCCUCGCUGGAACGCGUCCGACGGUGAGGGACGAAGGCCAGGGGAGCGACCCGGAUUAGAUACCCGUGUAGU